rnacentral:tRNA from 1 species
AGGAUUAUAGUUUAAAUAAAAUUUUUGAUUUGCAUUCAAAAGAAAUUAAUAAUAUUAAUUUAUCUUA